GGUCUCUGGGUCCUCUGGGGACUUUCUUUUCAAAACCACUGUUUCCAAAUCCUUUCCUUGUAACAACUACAAAAUCAUCAGACAGGACCUCUUAGGAGCAAAUUUUCCUUAAGGAAUUAACUUCAAAACAUUUAAAAAUAUAUAAUAAAGUAAGUAGCAAACGCGAGUUCUUUUUAAACUUUACAAAGUCUAGACAUGUUUAAAUCAACAGGACUCUAUUGUCAAGGUAACUCCAAGGUAACUCUGAAUAAAUGAAUCCAAAACAUUUACCUUGUACUGACCCCCCAAGUACCUCUCCGAUCUCUGCAUUUUUUUAAAGUAUGGAUAGUGACACUAAGGUAGAUUUUUAAAGUGGAAGGAACAGAAGGAAAUAAGUAUGCCUCAGAAGUCCACACACAAAGUGUUUGUACAGCAAGAGCUCUAGAAAGACAUGUGAAAACACGAACUUCACUUGCAAGCAGGCAGGCAGGGAAAUGCAGGACAGAGGGGUAAGAGCCCCGAAGGUGCCGGGGUUUGGCUCUGGGCAAACAAAAGGCACCAUGAUCUAUCUACCUUUCUUGGAUGCCCUGCGCCGAAUCUUCAUCUUGGGGAAGGAAGGCCAGGAAUAGUUGAAUGGCGCACAGAGACGUGUGACCCAAAUAAGAUCAAGCCGAGGUCUACAGAGGACUCUCCUGUAGGAGUCUCUCAAAGCACUCCACAUGGAUGGAACGCCAAGAAGUCCUGUGUUUUGUUCUGUUUUGGGAAGCCUUGGAGUGCUCAGCAAAACUAAAGGAAACAACUGGAGGAGCCAUUCAGCCCUGCAGGCUUGACCACGACAGCGUGUGUCUUCAUUAGCAUUCUUCUCUUCAACUAUUUCUCCAGCCGUCGGCGCCAGUGCUGUGCUGUGGAGGAAACAGCUCCACAGCUUGCUCUGUGGUAGCUAAUCCUCUGACUAGGGAGGAGUGAGGGAGGAGCACAGGCUGGCAUAAAAAGUGGAAGGGACUAUGGAGUGUAAACUCAAGUCAAAAUCGGAAUUAUGUAAAUUACGCUUGUGGUUUCAUGUGGUUUUCUAAAUAAUUAGGAGACUGUAACAAAAUACAGCUAGAAUAUAACUGCAAGGAUUGAGCCUAAAGGAAAAGUACUUUUUCUAUGUUGUAGCCUUUUAUCUGAAGAAUAAAUCAAACAUUUUUUCUUGAACAGGUGGGUACAAUUGUAAGAAUACAUUAUUCUCAGCUUUCAACACCAAGUAAGAGGGUUUUAAUCUAUAUGAUCUUUAAUAAGAAAAAAAUAGACAAUGGAAUCAGGGAGAUGGCUUCAAGGCUAACAACCCAAGUUCAAUCCCUGGGACCCACAUGAUGGAAAGAGAGAACCAACUCCUGCAAGUUGUCUUCUGACUUUCACAUGUAUGCCAUGACAUAUGAAUCUCCCUCACCAAUAAAAAUUUAAAACUUA